rnacentral:rRNA from 1 species
AUGGCGGAAGCUCUUGCUCUCAAGUUUGGUUUAACUCUGGUGCAAAGGGCGGGAUGUAAUCGCCUUAUUAUUAACUCAGAUAACCUGGAGGUAAUUUAUACUAUGCAGGAUGGAGGACAAUCAGUGAGCGCAGCAGCAAUCUUUGACGAUUGUUUUCAUUACGCUUGUGAUUUUAGUAUUACUAGAUUCGAACAUUGUAAUAGAGAAGCAAAUAAAGUAGCUCAUGAGCUUGCUAAAUUAGCUAGAUUUUCUUUGACUUCUGUCUGGUUUGAGGAACCUGUAGAUGAGAUUGUAAUGAUCCUCAUGAAUGAUGUACUUCUUAUAUCUAAUGAAUAA